rnacentral:pre_miRNA from 1 species
AUUGAAAUUGCUGGGUCAAAUGGUUACUUAAUGUUUUGAGGAACUUCCAGAAUAUUUUCCAAAGUGACUCUACCAUUUUAGAUUCCCACCAGUAGU